rnacentral:tRNA from 1 species
UCGGGAUAGCUCANUUGGUAGAGCAGAUGACUGAAAAUCCUCGUG